GGUUAAGCGACUAAGCGUACACGGUGGAUGCCCUGGCAGUCAGAGGCGAUGAAGGACGUGCUAAUCUGCGAUAAGCGUCGGUAAGGUGAUAUGAACCGUUAUAACCGGCGAUUUCCGAAUGGGGAAACCCAGUGUGAUUCGUCACACUAUCAUUAACUGAAUCCAUAGGUUAAUGAGGCGAACCGGGGGAACUGAAACAUCUAAGUACCCCGAGGAAAAGAAAUCAACCGAGAUUCCCCCAGUAGCGGCGAGCGAACGGGGAGCAGCCCAGAGCCUGAAUCAGUGUGUGUGUUAGUGGAAGCGUCUGGAAAGGCGUGCGAUACAGGGUGACAGCCCCGUACACAAAAAUGCACAUACUGUGAGCUCGAUGAGUAGGGCGGGACACGUGGUAUCCUGUCUGAAUAUGGGGGGACCAUCCUCCAAGGCUAAAUACUCCUGACUGACCGAUAGUGAACCAGUACCGUGAGGGAAAGGCGAAAAGAACCCCGGCGAGGGGAGUGAAAAAGAACCUGAAACCGUGUACGUACAAGCAGUGGGAGCACGCUUAGGCGUGUGACUGCGUACCUUUUGUAUAAUGGGUCAGCGACUUAUAUUCUGUAGCAAGGUUAACCGAAUAGGGGAGCCGAAGGGAAACCGAGUCUUAACUGGGCGUUAAGUUGCAGGGUAUAGACCCGAAACCCGGUGAUCUAGCCAUGGGCAGGUUGAAGGUUGGGUAACACUAACUGGAGGACCGAACCGACUAAUGUUGAAAAAUUAGCGGAUGACUUGUGGCUGGGGGUGAAAGGCCAAUCAAACCGGGAGAUAGCUGGUUCUCCCCGAAAGCUAUUUAGGUAGCGCCUCGUGAAUUCAUCUCCGGGGGUAGAGCACUGUUUCGGCAAGGGGGUCAUCCCGACUUACCAACCCGAUGCAAACUGCGAAUACCGGAGAAUGUUAUCACGGGAGACACACGGCGGGUGCUAACGUCCGUCGUGAAGAGGGAAACAACCCAGACCGCCAGCUAAGGUCCCAAAGUCAUGGUUAAGUGGGAAACGAUGUGGGAAGGCCCAGACAGCCAGGAUGUUGGCUUAGAAGCAGCCAUCAUUUAAAGAAAGCGUAAUAGCUCACUGGUCGAGUCGGCCUGCGCGGAAGAUGUAACGGGGCUAAACCAUGCACCGAAGCUGCGGCAGCGACGCUGAUGCGUUGUUGGGUAGGGGAGCGUUCUGUAAGCCUGUGAAGGUGUACUGUGAGGUAUGCUGGAGGUAUCAGAAGUGCGAAUGCUGACAUAAGUAACGAUAAAGCGGGUGAAAAGCCCGCUCGCCGGAAGACCAAGGGUUCCUGUCCAACGUUAAUCGGGGCAGGGUGAGUCGACCCCUAAGGCGAGGCCGAAAGGCGUAGUCGAUGGGAAACAGGUUAAUAUUCCUGUACUUGGUGUUACUGCGAAGGGGGGACGGAGAAGGCUAUGUUGGCCGGGCGACGGUUGUCCCGGUUUAAGCGUGUAGGCUGGUUUUCCAGGCAAAUCCGGAAAAUCAAGGCUGAGGCGUGAUGACGAGGCACUACGGUGCUGAAGCAACAAAUGCCCUGCUUCCAGGAAAAGCCUCUAAGCAUCAGGUAACAUCAAAUCGUACCCCAAACCGACACAGGUGGUCAGGUAGAGAAUACCAAGGCGCUUGAGAGAACUCGGGUGAAGGAACUAGGCAAAAUGGUGCCGUAACUUCGGGAGAAGGCACGCUGAUAUGUAGGUGAAGUCCCUCGCGGAUGGAGCUGAAAUCAGUCGAAGAUACCAGCUGGCUGCAACUGUUUAUUAAAAACACAGCACUGUGCAAACACGAAAGUGGACGUAUACGGUGUGACGCCUGCCCGGUGCCGGAAGGUUAAUUGAUGGGGUCAGCGCAAGCGAAGCUCUUGAUCGAAGCCCCGGUAAACGGCGGCCGUAACUAUAACGGUCCUAAGGUAGCGAAAUUCCUUGUCGGGUAAGUUCCGACCUGCACGAAUGGCGUAAUGAUGGCCAGGCUGUCUCCACCCGAGACUCAGUGAAAUUGAACUCGCUGUGAAGAUGCAGUGUACCCGCGGCAAGACGGAAAGACCCCGUGAACCUUUACUAUAGCUUGACACUGAACAUUGAGCCUUGAUGUGUAGGAUAGGUGGGAGGCUUUGAAGUGUGGACGCCAGUCUGCAUGGAGCCGACCUUGAAAUACCACCCUUUAAUGUUUGAUGUUCUAACGUUGACCCGUAAUCCGGGUUGCGGACAGUGUCUGGUGGGUAGUUUGACUGGGGCGGUCUCCUCCUAAAGAGUAACGGAGGAGCACGAAGGUUGGCUAAUCCUGGUCGGACAUCAGGAGGUUAGUGCAAUGGCAUAAGCCAGCUUGACUGCGAGCGUGACGGCGCGAGCAGGUGCGAAAGCAGGUCAUAGUGAUCCGGUGGUUCUGAAUGGAAGGGCCAUCGCUCAACGGAUAAAAGGUACUCCGGGGAUAACAGGCUGAUACCGCCCAAGAGUUCAUAUCGACGGCGGUGUUUGGCACCUCGAUGUCGGCUCAUCACAUCCUGGGGCUGAAGUAGGUCCCAAGGGUAUGGCUGUUCGCCAUUUAAAGUGGUACGCGAGCUGGGUUUAGAACGUCGUGAGACAGUUCGGUCCCUAUCUGCCGUGGGCGCUGGAGAACUGAGGGGGGCUGCUCCUAGUACGAGAGGACCGGAGUGGACGCAUCACUGGUGUUCGGGUUGUCAUGCCAAUGGCACUGCCCGGUAGCUAAAUGCGGAAGAGAUAAGUGCUGAAAGCAUCUAAGCACGAAACUUGCCCCGAGAUGAGUUCUCCCUGACUCCUUGAGAGUCCUGAAGGAACGUUGAAGACGACGACGUUGAUAGGCCGGGUGUGUAAGCGCAGCGAUGCGUUGAGCUAACCGGUACUAAUGAACCGUGAGGCUUAACCUU
rnacentral:rRNA from 1 species